UAUUUAUUAAUUAAUUACUUAUUUGUUUUUAAACAUUAAAUAAAAAAAAUUGAUUUAUUGACCCGUCAGUUUUUCAAGAUGCGUAGUAAUCUUAAAGUUAAAAAUUCAAUUUAAUUUCAAAAUUUAUUUAUACGCAUAGAGUCUUGUUGACCGGUCUCAAAUAGGCGAUUCCUAAGUGAAUCAUUUUACGAUUAUUUAACAUAAACAUUAAAUUUCUUUUAGUUUAAUCUCUGAUUUUUUACUUCGAGUCCCUUGGCUUUCUCUUGGGCCUUCUUACAACGAGAUUCUUUUAUUUUUUUCAAUUGUCUUUCAAAGCUUAUAUAAUUUAAUUAUCAUGUUGUAUCCCCAUUCGAUAAACUGCACCCCCAUUCC
rnacentral:lncRNA from 1 species